rnacentral:rRNA from 1 species
UACGAAGGGGGCUAGCGUUGUUCGGAAUUACUGGGCGUAAAGCGCGCGUAGGCGGACAUUUAAGUCAGGGGUGAAAUGCCGGGGCUCAACCUCGGAACUGCCUUUGAUACUGGAUGUCUGGAGUUCGGGAGAGGUGAGUGGAAUUCCGAGUGUAGAGGUGAAAUUCGUAGAUAUCAGGAAGAACACCCGUGGCUAAGGCGGCUCUCUAGUACGGUACUGACGCUGAGACGCGAAAGCGUGGGGAGCGAACAGG